rnacentral:lncRNA from 1 species
UAGCCCCAAUGAAGCACCUGUAAUUCGACCGUCUCCUGUUCUCUAUUCAUAGAAAGAUACAGAGAUCUUAUUCAUGCCACCAUGUGAUGUAUGAGCAGUGAACUCAUAUAUGUGCUCUAGCACUACUGCUAGUGGCCCUUGAAAGCCGGUAGGCAGUGAACACUCAGUGUGCCCUGUGGGCAAAGCAUCGAGCACCUGGAGUGCCGCCUGAUGCCGGCAGCAGUCAUCACUCAUCAGCGCACAUACAAACCGGCGAGAGAGACGACGGCAUUCAUGGGAGGGAGAGUAAGGGGCUGGAGGGUACCUUGCAAGUGCAAUGAGCGAUCCUGGGCAGAGGAUGGUGGCCGGAGCCGAGCGAGCAGAUCGAGGACUUGGAGGCACUUGUCGCCGUCGAUUCGAAUGCGGGAAGCGCGGAUGACUGGAUGUGCUGGCAUGGUAUCGAUGGAUGGGAGCGCGGUACGCACGGCUGCAAGGUCAGCGGUGGCCGGCGGCCGGCGGCGUGGCGGCGCCGGAUGCCAAGUCCACCGCCCCCGAAUGCUCUGCAGUGCAGAAGAGUCCCCGGUUCGCGAUCCACUUAUUCUCAAUUUGGUCGCCGUAUUUUACAUAUACCUCCCUAGUUUGGACCGAAUAUUUUCACAGAGACCCCUUUAUUUUACAAAUACCUCCUAAAUUCGAUCGCGAUCCAAAUAUGGCCCCUUGCUUGGUGUUGGUCGGCAGUUCCGGCUCGUUUCUGUCCGGCGACGGCCGCCGCCCCGGUCAGAAUCGUGGAGCUUGGACUCCAUUUCACCAUUUGAGCAAAUAACUAGUGAAGAAAUAUGAAGUACAAGAUAGCUGGUGCUGUUCUACUUUGCACAAGUGAACACAGCAGAUGUAUAACUUGAGCGAGCACAUCUGAGCAUUGUGGCUGAUGCCGGUUCGGCGUAAUGCUUUAUAACCUUUUUUUCAGUGCCACCAUCACAUCUCUCAUUGACAUCCUUUGGACUUUGGAUACUCAUUCACAUCUCUCAUUCACAUCUCUCAUUGACAUCACUCUAGCAAUUCCAAACAUAGUGGGAUACAGAGCAUACCAAGUGGAUACUCAACUACAUUUGACAGUUGUUCGUUCAAAAAAGAAACUCCAAUAGAAGAAACUUAUAUUACAUAUGACAGUUUCUGUUCAGAAAUCUUAUAUAGGAUACAAAUAACUAGUGGAGAAAAAUGAAAUAAGAGAUGGCUGAUGCUAUUCAUCUCUUGCACAAGUAAACAGAGCACAUGUAUCCAAAUACAGGGGAAAUUGGUAAUGAC